rnacentral:siRNA from 1 species
CGCCAAAGCUCAUCCGUCCUU